CGCCUUGUUUUUGCCCGGGUGAGUGUUAACUACCUAUACCUUCUUACCUCUAAGUAGCAUUAUUAGGAGACAUCUAGCUAGCUAACUUUAGCUACAUGGACUCAUGUAAGGCAGUGUUACGGCUGUCGCCUUGCCUUCAGCAUUAACUGGCCUGUGAGUGUGUUGUGUGUGUAUAUAUGUGUAUGUUUGUUAUGUGUAUGUGUUUAGCUUAGGAUAUAUUGUGUUUUGUGUGUAUAGACAGCUCAGAGCCUUUGAACAGCCUGCACGUUGUUUAUAUCACUCUAUGUUGAGGUUAAUAUUAAAAACAACCUCUUUACCAAGACCAUCUGGUUAUGUGUUGCUUGUGAUGUUGUUAAAUGUAUGUUACCAACUCGCAAGUUGUGAACUGGAGCUUCAAUUGUGUAGGUCAACCAUUCCCAGAGGUCUGGAGAAACACCAUUUAAAAACGUGGAUUGUAGCUAAAGAAGAUGGAGAGGUUGUUACAGCACACUGUAACUGUAUGGCUGGUUUGUCAGAAUCCUGCUCACAUGUUGGAGCAGUUCUGUUUGCAAUCGAAGCAGGUGUGAAGAUGAGAGAGACUGCAUCCUGCACCACUGAGAAGUGCAAGUGGCUAAUGCCAUCACAUGUCAAAAAGAUUCCUGCUGCUCCAGUUGCGAUGAUAGACUUUUCAUCCGCAAAAUCCAAAAAGCAAAAACUGGAUGAUGCCAUUGCUGGAAGGACAGGCAACUGCCCGAAAGCAGUAUGAAGGAGUACAAAGUCUGCACCACCAGGGUUUCAGCUGUAAAGACAGCGGGCUUUGGCUGAACCCUCAAUGGCCAUACAUGGGAGCGUCGCCAGACGGAGGUGUCACGUGCACCUGCCAUGGAACUGGUAUCUGUGAGAUAAAGGUAAGUUAUUUGUUCAGUAUUGUGCUACAGUAAAGCGGGUAAGUAUAGGAUUGUGACGUGAUCCUGAGUCUGGGGAUCCUCUCCCAAUACAUUUUGAGCUGCAGACACUUAUUUACAGUACAAUAUAUUACUUUUCUUUUCAUUGAAC